AGCUCAGAUGCUGCAGUCUUCCAACACAGACCCUUCAGCAUCCUAGUACAGACUCACGUGGAACGCUGCAGUGAGCUCUUUGACCUUUGACUGGAUCCUCCUGUCCUCGAGCACAAAGAGAGCCCUUUUGCAUUCUUCCACUCCUGACUCUCCAGCAACAACUGCUUGGCAUCCUGGCCUCGGGACAGAGCCCCUGUAUCUACUGUUCAGGACCCAGUAUUUGCUAACCUCUUAAGUAAGAACAUACUUGGAAGAAAUGGAAUUUGGAUCUGAUAUUCAUGGCACAAAUCAUCUGGAGAUAAAGAAAAGGAAUCGCCACAAGGCCACAGAGAACUUCAAUGUUACCACCUAACCCUAACCAUCCACAGUUCUUCAAACCCAUCUGCUGUUGGAGAUCACUAUGAAGUAAAAUGUCCAGAAUGCUCCUCAUUCUCCAAGCAAUCUAAGUAGGGUGUUUUGGGAUUGCUCUGCAGAAAUGGCUCACCCCUGAAGAUAAGUCUGGACACACAAACUCCAUUCUUCCCAACAGAGGUUCAGAUUUAUUGAGCUCACAUAUCCAGAGCUUUCUUGACUAUUACAGUUCCACUGUAAAUGAAGCAAGAACUUGAGGUCUGGCCCAAGACAGUUUAUAACCUAAUCACUGACACCUUUUCAAGGUAACUUUGACUAUAUGGGCCGGGAAUACCAUUGUUAAUAGCCUAGAAUUUAGUCAAGAAGAAUAAGCCUUUUUUUUUUUGUACCGGGGAUCGAACUCCAGACCUUGCACUUGUGAGGCAGGCAGCAGAACC